rnacentral:tRNA from 1 species
GAGGGUCUAGCUCAGUGGUAGAGCACGUGCUUAGCAUGCAGGAUGUCCUGGGUUCAAUCCCCAGGACCUUCA